UGCCUCGUAGCUCAGCUGGUAGAGCGUGCGCUGUCCAAAAGCGCAGGCGGCGUCCAGGCGUGGGUUCGAAUCCCUCUGAGGCUA
rnacentral:tRNA from 1 species